ACUCAAAUGAAUUGACGGGGACCCGCACAACCGGUGGAGCGUGUGGUUCAAUUCGAGACGAAGCGAAAAACCUUACCAGGGCUUGACAUACUAUCGUUUUAUACCUAUGGAAACACUGGUAGAUCCGCAAGGAUGAUAGUACAGGUGCUGCAUGGCUGUCGUCAGCUCGUGCCGUGAGGUGUUCCCUUAAGUGGGGAAACGAGCGCAACCCCCGCGUAAUGUUAAAUAUUCAUUGCGGACAGGUCCGAUUUUGUCGGACAGGAAGGAGGGGAAGACGUCAAGUCAGCACGGCCCUUAUGCCCUGGGUAACACACACCCUACAAUGGCGAAGAACAAUGAGUUGCAAGCGCGCGAGUGCAAGCUAAUCUCUGAAAUUUCGCCUCAGUUCAGAUUGGAGUCUGCAACCCGACUCCAUGAAGUCGGAAUCGGUAGUAAUCGCGGAUCAGCAGGCCGCGGUGAAUACGUUCUCGGGUCUUGUACACACCGCCCGU
rnacentral:rRNA from 1 species